rnacentral:piRNA from 1 species
UUUAAAGAUUCCUUCCGCUGA